GGAAAUGGAAAGGUUCCGCAGCUAUGGCCUAAUAAGAACAAGAAACCCGGGGGCUAGACCCUCCCUGCACCCCGCUGCCCCAGGUGAAGAUCUGGGUACCAUCUCCCUCAGGAAAAUCCACAUAGCUCAGCAGACCUCCCAGCUGCUGGGGAGGGAAAUGUUGUAUCGCUGGUGGAAAAGGGAAAUGAAAUUGUGAUCAACCAGAAUCCAGAACACGCUGUGCUUAAUGGAGUGAACUGCCUGUGAAGCGCAGGUGUGAGGGGCGGAUGAUAAGUGACAGUGCCGGUGCCCCCAGCGCCCUUUUACCUGAUGGCUCACCCGGCCUACAGCUGCGCCCUUCCCUUUGAAUCGUCUUGGGUAACGGGUGCUGCUUUGGAAAUGCCUGGAAGGUCAUGUCCUUUGUCUGGGGAUGGCUUCCAGCUGUGGUUGACUGAUAGCAGGGGGCACAGAAGGCCAGACACAACUUGCCUCAGGUGGGCCGACUCUGAGGGUUUGUUCGGCCUCCACGUGGACUUCAGCUGAGCCUGCAUCUUUGCUUGGCUUUUCCCACUGGCCUAUUCUGCUUCCCUCUCCUUAAGGGUUCUCCCAGGAGAACUCCCUUAAUAAAUCACUUGCACAAGGAUCCCUGUCUUAGCCUUUGCUUCUAGAAAACCUGACCUAAGAUAAAUAGGUCGUGGGAACACGAGAGAAAGAGAU
rnacentral:lncRNA from 10 species